rnacentral:rRNA from 1 species
UGAAUACGAGAUGCUACGGCGUCGAAGCAGUGUAUGUCAGACUUCCAAGAAAAGCUCGCAAUGUCAUAAAUAAAGAAUGCCUGUACCAUAACCGACACAGGUGGGUAGGUAGAGUAUACUAAGGGGCGCGAGAUAACUCUCUCUAAGGAACUCGGCAAAAUAACUCCGUAACCUCGGGAGAAGGAGUGCCUUCUUUAAGAAGGUUGCAAUAACAAGAUCCAAGCAACUGUUUAUCAAAAACACAGGUCUCCGCUAAGUCGUAAGACGAUGUAUGGGGGCUGACGCCUGCCCAGUGCCAGAAGGUUAAAGAAGCUGGUUAGCAAUAGCGAAGCUGGUGACUGAAGCCCUGGUGAACGGCGGCCGUAACUAUAACGGUCCUAAGGUAGCGAAAUUCCUUGUCGGGUAAGUUCCGACCCGCACGAAAGGCGUAAUGAUUUGGAUACUGUCUCGGAGAGGGACUCGGUGAAAUAGACUUGUCUGUGAAGAUGCGGACUACCUGCACCAGGACAGAAAGACCCUAUGAAGCUUUACUGUAACCUGAAAUUGAAAUUGGACUUUAUUUGCGCAGUAUAGGUGGGAGGCGUUGAAAGUAAUCUUGCGGGAUUAGUGGAGCCAUCAGUGAGAUACCACUCCUAUAAUGUUAGAUUUCUAACUUUGGAUCAUGAUCUGGUCAAAGAACAGUUUCAGGCGGGCAGUUUGACUGGGGCGGUCGCCUCCCAAAUGGUAACGGAGGCGUACAAAGGUUUCCUCUGAACGGGUAGAAAUCGUAUCUAGAGUGUAAAGGCAUAAGGAAGCUUGACUGUGAGACCUACAAGUCGAGCAGGGACGAAAGUCGGUCUUAGUGAUCUGACGGUGCUGAGUGGAAAGGCCGUCACUCAACGGAUAAAAGUUACUCUAAGGAUAACAGGCUGAUCUCCCCCAAGAGUUCACAUCGACGGGGAGGUUUGGCACCUCGAUGUCGGCUCAUCGCAUCCUGGGGCGGUAGUACGUCCCAAGGGUUGGGCUGUUCGCCCAUGAAAGCGGUACGCGAGCUGGGUUCAGAACGUCGUGAGACAGUUCGGUCCAUAUCCGGUGUAGGCGUUAGAAUAUUGAGAGGAGCCUUCUCUAGUACGAGAGGACCGAGAAGGACAUACCUCUGGUGUACCAGUUAUCGUGCCAACGGUAAACGCUGGGUAGCUAUGUAUGGAGAGGAUAACCGCUGAAAGCAUCUAAGUGGGAAGCCCACCUCAAGAUGAGUAUUCUCAU